rnacentral:rRNA from 1 species
AACGAACGCUGGCGGCAUGCCUAACACAUGCAAGUCGAACGAGACCUUCGGGUCUAGUGGCGCACGGGUGCGUAACGCGUGGGAACCUGCCCUUAGGUUCGGAAUAACUCCCCGAAAGGGGUGCUAAUACCGGAUAAUGUCUUCGGACCAAAGAUUUAUCGCCUUUGGAUGGGCCCGCGUUGGAUUAGCUAGUUGGUAGGGUAAAAGCCUACCAAGGCGACGAUCCAUAGCUGGUCUGAGAGGAUGAUCAGCCACACUGGGACUGAGACACGGCCCAGACUCCUACGGGAGGCAGCAGUGGGGUAUAUUGGACAAUGGGCGAAAGCCUGAUCCAGCAAUGCCGCGUGAGUGAUGAAGGCCUUAGGGUUGUAAAGCUCUUUUAACCGGGAUGAUAAUGACAGUACCGGGAGAAUAAGCUCCGGCUAACUCCGUG